ensembl:lncRNA C5orf64 chromosome 5 putative open reading frame 64
ACUUCCAUACUGAUUAGAAGUGCUUGAGAUACAUCAUAACAGUGUCAGUGCAGUGUUUAUGGGGGAAAUUGUCGCUGUCUCUCGCUUGUGGAAGGUGACAUAAUGGGAUUUCUUCCCUUUGUCCUGGUGACAGGAUGAUGAGCACUGUCUGGGCUCCAGUUCGGCGGGCUUUGCCAUUCAGGCAUCCGGCGCAGCUGACAAGCCCGAGGAUCGAUGGAGAAGAGUUUGAUUACUCAGUCAAAACCUAAGUAUCCUGUUGGGAGAAGAACACUCAUUUUAGUGGCACUGUUCUAUUCUUUGGAUGAAUUGAAUAGUUACUAAUCCAGCCACAGAAGAAAGACACAGGAGAGGCUGAAACAUCACCUCUUGAGGGUCUCCUUUCUGGUGAUUUAUUCAGAUAUUGGCACAUGUGACUCAAUAAUGGCCAAUACUAUGUGAAGGGACAUCUUCUGGGGAGUCUUCCUCCUUUUCUUCCGGAUUCUUUGUGUCUGAAUGUGAUGCCUGGAGAUGCAACAGCAGUCUCACUACCAGCACGAGGAUGAAGCUGAUACCCAGUGUUCAGAAAACUCAUUAGCUUCCAACCUCCUCAAUUAGGCAGAACAAACAUGCAUUACUCCAAAUUGCCCCGCACUGCGAUAGAGACAGAGUUCAAGCAGAAUGUUGGCCCACCACCCAAGGAUCUGACCGCUGAAGUUUACUUCCCUUCAAUCAAAUCGAGAUCACAUCUUCCUGCAGUUUUCUAUAAUCAGUAUUUCAAGCAUCCAAAAUGUGUAGGAGAAUAUGGACCCAAGAACGGAGCAGAGAGACAAAUAGAGGAACGGAAAGUUUUGCCUACAACCAUGAUGUUCUCAAUGUUAGCUGACUGUGUUCUAAAAUCCACUCCAAUUCCCAUUUUGGGAGUUGCUAUGUGAUGAAGGUCUGCCCCUGUGGUGUUGGGACAACUUGCUCAUGGAGUUGCAGUUCUUGCCUAACAGGAACCCACCAUGGUAAGAAAAAGACUCAAGCUGGUUUAUUUGUUUUUAAGGUUGCAAGGUAAUCAAGUCCAUAACCACACUUGCUCUCACAUUUACCAAAAUAGGCCAAUCUCAGAACUAAAUGAUAAAAAUGAAAAUUAAUCAGGGACUCCCAUGGGCCUCACAUAUAUGGCAGUUUUGAAUCUGUUCUUUUUUUCACUAUCAUAAUUGUUUUUUUAAACUCAUUUUCUCUGCUUGAAUACACAACUGUAAAAAAAAGUGGGGGUAGUGGUGGUGAUAGAAAUGAAUAAACCCAUGGAAACAGUGAGACAUCUACAGAGACAAAAUUAGGAAGGAAGGAAACAAAAGCAAUUUCAGUAUCUCUGUGCAAGGCCUGCAUACCUUUCCUUGCCAAUACCCGUGGAUUGGGCUUGUCUCAGGAGGUAGCAGGUGUUUCCUUGACUCACACAGAAAACAAGCCCUUGGGCUUCUUGUGCUGUUAGGGCAAGUUACGUUCAGCACAUGAACACUGGACCCUGCUUUGCCUGUCCGUCCUUCCCAGAAGAGACACAGAUCACAGAUGAUCAAGUAGUUGAGAAAACAGUUCAAGAGGAGGCUUUGUAUCUUUUCUUUCUUUUCUUUCCUUUUUUUUUUUUUUUUGAAACGGAGUCUCGCUCUGUUGCCCAGGCUGGAGUGCAGUGGCAUUAUCUCGGCUCACUGCAGCCUUUGCCUCCCGGGUUCAAGUGAUUCUCCUGCCUCAGCCUCCUGAGUAGCUGGGUUUACAGGUGCCUGCCAGCACGCCCAGCUAAUUUUUGUAUUUUUAGUAGAGACGGGGUUUCACUGUGUUAGCCAGGAUGGUCUCGAUCUCCUGACCUCAUGAUCCACCCGCUUCAGCCUCCCAAAGUGCUGGGAUUACAGGCAUAAGCCACAGCACCCGGCCCUGUGUCUUUUCUUAAUUUGAGCGAACUUAAAGUAAAAACGCUUCUUAACAUUAUAAAGUAGGACUAUGUCCCCUCCAUUGAAUUUUUGUAAAAAAGUCGAAUAGGGAUAGAAAGCAAGCAACCAGAUAGAAUAUCAUGCCCCAGAACAUCAUUUACCUUGGUAGAACAUUACCACUUUAACACAUAGAAACCUUUUCACACUAGUUAACAAAUAGCAUUAAGCAUGAUUCAAGUCAAGAUUUUAAAAACUUGGCUGAUGCCUCUCAUUAAGAGUUGAAAACUAUAUAAGACUCUUGCUCCAGGAAACUGUGUUCUGACAUUUUAAUAGUAUUGCGUUAGCAAGAGCAGAAAAUCCAUGAACUUAGAUUCACAGAAAGUAAAUCAAGAAUCCAUCCAAAAUGGAGUGCCUCUUGCUGAGUGAUGGGAUGGUUUUCAUGUGAGAUGUCAGUGCAGCUUCUAUACUUGACAUAAAAGUUCCCAUUAAAAAAAACGGAACUGCUGCUCAAUUUUUUUUUCAUCAAGCAGAGUUACCUAAAGUGCUUUUUAGAAGAGACUAUUAGGAAAGGAAUGGAAAGUAGUCAUUAUGACUAAUCUGCUUUAGGAGUUGGGGUAACCAGUAUUACAGGAGGGACUUUCAGAGCCAUGGGGACCUUUUAGGCAACUCAAAUUCCUUCAAUUGUUUGCAGUGGUCCUCUCGAGGGGAUGUAAUGAGUUGACAUGCACCAGAACAGAUAGAAUGCACUGCCAGCUGGUAGUUUACUCUUGUACAGGAAGGCUGCUUUUCUAACACACAACUCUUUGUUGUGUUAAAGAGAAAUAAAUAUAUAAAAGCCUAAAAGUAAGCUUUCAAUUCUUUAUGUCUGGCAAAAUUGUCAGUACAAUGUGCCUUGAGGAUAUAUCCAUGGUGCUGUCUUACAAGGUUAUUACGAAAGAAUAAGCUCAUACUAUAAUAACCACCCCAUACACUUUACAGUUUAUGAAGAACUUACAUAUACAUUUUCUCAGUUGAACCUCACAACAUCAGUGGGAGGCAGGGGAGGCAGAUAUUAUUAUCUCUUGAGAGGGAGUGACCCUGCUGCUGCUGCUGUAUAUGUGUGGCUUUUGGUUUAGGAAGACUAAGUUGAUUGUGUUGUAUUUUCAAGUAUUUUAUAUCGUACAAGGAUGUUUAUUGCAGCACUGUUUAUAACAAGGAAAAAUUGGAACCUACUCGAAUGCUUGCUAAUAGGGGACUCAUUAAACUAUGGUACAAGCUUAGAUAUGACUCUGUAGUCAUUAAGAAUUUUGAUGAGGUAUUAGAAAGAAAUGUAUUGAUGUUGAAGUAUAUUUAUUGAUGAAGGAAAUUGUUCACAAUAUUUCAGCCAAUAAACAAUAGUAUAUGCAUUUUUUUGUAAUAGGAAAAAAUGCACACAGUAAAAUAGUGGUUAUCUUUGUGUGCGGUGAAUAUGUAUGAUACUUGUUUUCUUUUUCAUGCUCACCUAUC